CGCUCCGGCCCGCGGCCCGGACACGCCCCCCCCGCGCGCGAGCCCAUUGGCCGACGUCCGCCACGGCGCGCUGCUCAUUGGCCGGCGUAGCUGUCGCGGCGCUCCGGGGCGCGCGGGAGAGGCGGGACUUCCGGUCGGCGCCGCCUGCGAAGUGCUCCGCGGCCGGCGGAGACGCGGGCAGCCAGCGAUGGCCGCGGAGGGGGCGAACUGGGUUCCGGCCCUCGGAGGCUGACGGAAGGCGGUGGCUGAGGAGCGGCGCCUCUGGUUGAGCGCUCGCCGUGUGUCCCGCACCUGUCUGUCCUGCCGCCGCCCGAGUCUCACUCUGUUGCCAAGGCUGGAGUGCAGUGGCGGGAUCUCGGCUAACUGCAACCUCCCCAUCCCGGGUUCAAGCGAUUCUCCUGCCUCAGCCUCCCGAGUAGCUGCGAUUACAGACAUUUGCCACCAUGCCCGGCACAGCACAGCACCGCACAUCUCCAGUCGGACUGGCUACAUUUCAAGGGCUCAACCAUCACGCGUUACCAGUGGCUACUGCAUCAGACUGUGCAGUGCUAGAUGGGGAGUCAGAAGAGAAACCAAGUGAUUUCCAUGUCAAGUGGUGAACAGGCUAAGAAGAAAACCUACUCCGAGUGAAGAUGAUGAAGAUGAAGACCGUUAUGAUCCACUUCCACUUAAUGAAAGAUGAAUAUAUUUUCUCUUCCUAAUGAUUUUUUUUUUUUUUUUUUUGGAGACAGAGUCUCGCUGCAUCCCCCAGGCUGGAGUACAGUGGUAUGAUCUUGGCUCACUGCAACCUCUGCCUCCUAGGUUCAAGUGAUUCUCCUGCCUCAGUCUCCCGAGUAGCUGGGAUUACAGGCGCCCACCACCAUGCCCGGCUAAUUUUUGUAUUUUUAGUAGAGAUGGGGUUUCACUAUGUUGGCCAGGCUGGUCUCAAACUCCUGACCUCAGGUGAUCUGCCUGACUUGGCCUCCCAAAGUGCUGGGAUUACAGGCAUGAGCCACCUUGCCUGGCCUCUUCCUAAUGAUUUUUUAAAGUACAUCUUGUUUUCUCUGUCUUACUUUAUCAUAAAAAUAUAUGAUACAAAUAAAAUACAGAAUAUGUGUUA
rnacentral:lncRNA from 1 species